ACUACCUCCACCACCAUUUCCACCAACAAAUUAGUUAGUUCCGGCAUGAAAAGAUGGUUGAGAAUGAAAAUUUAGAAACUUGGGUGAAACAUUUCAUCGGGUAGUGGGUGUCUCCAAUAUCAACAUAAGCAGGGGGGUGUUGUAGAAUGACAUGAAGCACAUGAGCGGCCUCCAAGGACUCUUUCCAGUCGACCAUAUACUGUGUUCCUAAAAUGAUGACAAAAUGAUAUUUUUGUUGAAGCGCAAAAUCGAUGGGUAUGGUUGAUGGAGCCAUCUCCAUCGUCAUCGUGAAAGAAGUGGAAUUCCGACAUUGGUAAUUGUUACACCUCAUGGUGGUCAUGGUGAUGUAGAAUCGAUGGUUGAGGAUUGUCGAUUGAGCCAUGGUGGGGAGUUAUAAUCAUCAAAAAGGGUGAACUUCUAGUUACAACCAUCUGAAAACAUACUUGCUUCAAAUGACUGGGUGGGGAAAAAAGAGAUUAUAAUAUGCAAAUAAAGCACAAUUUAUCAGGUUUGUAUAUAUAGAAAGUAUGUGUGUUCGGCGGAGGUGUCGAUCGAACUGUAGGUUGAAGUGAGUAUGUAUUGGCGUGAAAAUCAAAAACUUAUUUUUGAUAUACAGAUUCAGAAAUGGUGUUGGAUGUGGACGCUGAUGGUGGGCAUUAGGCGGAGGUUGUAUUUAGGGCACAAUCGAACCACAUCGUUUGCUAAACCAAAGAGAACAUACGCACAGAUGUAUAGUCACACAGAGGCCAUAUAUCAAUGGAAGCUGGCGAAGGUCCACUUGAUGAUGGAAAUCGAUUGCAUGUGCAAAAAUAGAAGCAUUGGGUCUGAAAUCAAACUCAAAACAUUACAUAGACUUAUCGGUGUUUGGUGUGGCCAUCGUUUGAUGCAAAGAUUGUAGUUCCAAAGUCCAACCAGGUUGAACUCGGGGAAAACUGCAUGUACAAACGAGGGAAAUAAACAAAAAAGGAACUUGACAUUGGCGUUGUUCCUAUGUAUGAAUUAGGGCUUCAAAGGUCAGCCUUUUCAAACUUGAUGGCCAAAUCCAACUAAGAAUGAAACAAAAAUCAAACAUGGACUGUUUUCAACCUCCCACCAUUGUUCCUGCCCAAUCCAGCGUUGCUUCGACGGUGCCCCGGUGGUGGUGUCGAUAGAAAAAAAAUUACGGACGGGGAUUCAUGUUUUGAGAGGGGUUUAGAGGAGCGAAUGUGAAGCUUCAGUAUGUCGAUGAGUUUAGAGAGAUAUAGAUGUUUUUUGAGAGUGGGAAGCAUCGACAUAAGUGUCAAUAUUGGUGGGCGGUUGGUUGUUGAGGAGAUAAUGGUUGACGAUUAACUUCAGCCACCACAGCAGCCAACGUCGUCGCACCAUCACCAACAAAAGCACUUUGUUGUUGCUUCCUCUUGCUUCCUUGUCGAAAUCAUCACAAAAAAAACAGUCAACCGACAGCUCCAUCAGGGUUGUUGUAAGCAGCCACUUUUUAAGUGGUGUAAGGUAAUUAGGAUGGGAAGGCGGUUGUGACCAGAUAAGAAAGCAUGGAAGAGGAAAAUGUAAUGAACUGAAGAAAA